AAACAAAAGAGUGCCUGGUUUAAUUAUAUUUCCCUAUUAUGUCAGCUCUACGGGAAUUAAAGCAUCCAGAACUUCCAAAGGCAAGUCGCCUAUGAAGAAGAGAUGCGAAGCCUGCAGCAAUAAACCACUGGAAGGCAAACGUCUCUGUGCAGAAUGCCUCUCUACAGCCGCAGGCACUUCCUCUACUGCCCCUACUCCAGAUAUGAUGGAGUUU